rnacentral:rRNA from 1 species
GAUGAACGCUGGCGGCGUGCCUAAUACAUGCAAGUCGAGCGAAUGGAUUAAGAGCUUGCUCUUAUGAAGUUAGCGGCGGACGGGUGAGUAACACGUGGGUAACCUGCCCAUAAGACUGGGAUAACUCCGGGAAACCGGGGCUAAUACCGGAUAACAUUUUGAACCGCAUGGUUCGAAAUUGAAAGGCGGCUUCGGCUGUCACUUAUGGAUGGACCCGCGUCGCAUUAGCUAGUUGGUGAGGUAACGGCUCACCAAGGCAACGAUGCGUAGCCGACCUGAGAGGGGGAUCGGCCACACUGGGACUGAGACACGGCCCAGACUCCUACGGGAAGCAGCAGUAGGGAAUCUUCCGCAAUGGACGAAAGUCUGACGGAGCAACGCCGCGUGAGUGAUGAAGGCUUUCGGGUCGUAAAACUCUGUUGUUAGGGAAGAACAAGUGCUAGUUGAAUAAGCUGGCACCUUGACGGUACCUAACCAGAAAGCCACGGCUAACUACGUGCCAGCCGCCGCAGUAA